rnacentral:rRNA from 1 species
CUAUCACGGAGAGUUUGAUUCUGGCUCAGGAUGAACGCUGGCGGCAUGCUUAACACAUGCAAGUUGAACGAAGCUAAUUUUUAAUUUCGAUUAAAAGCUAGACUUAGUAGCGGACGGGUGAGUAACGCGUAAGAAUCUACCCUUAGGAAAAGAAUAACAACUGGAAACGGUUGCUAAUACUUUAUAUGCCGAGAGGUUAAACAGGUUACUGCCUAAGGACGAGCUUGCGUCUGAUUAGCUAGUUGGUAGGGUAAAAGCCUACCAAGGCAACUAUCAGUAGUUGGUCUGAGAGGAUGAUCAGCCACAUUGGGACUGAGACACGGCCCAGACUCCUACGGGAGGCAGCAGUGAGGAAUUUUCCGCAAUGGGCGAAAGCCUGACGGAGCAAUGCCGCGUGAAGGAUGAAGGCCUGCGGGUUGUAAACUUCUUUUCUUAGAGAAGAUAAUGACGGUAUCUAAGGAAUAAGCAUCGGCUAACCCUGUGCCAGCAGCCGCGGUAAUACAGGGGAUGCAAGCGUUAUCCGGAAUGAUUGGGCGUAAAGCGUCUGUAGGUGGUUUAGAAAGUCGAUUGUCAAAAACCAAGGCUUAACCUUGGGCCGGCAAUGGAAACUUCUAGACUAGAGUAUGGUAGAGGUAGAGGGAAUUACCGGUGUAACGGUGAAAUGUGCAGAUAUCGGUAAGAACACCAACGGCGAAAGCACUCUACUGGGCCAAAACUGACACUCAGAGACGAAAGCUAGGGGAGCGAAUAGGAUUAGAUACCCUAGUAGUCCUAGCCGUAAACGAUGGAAACUAAGUAUUGAUCUCGAAAGAGCGCAGUACUGUAGCUAACGCGUUAAGUUUCCCGCCUGGGGAGUAUGCUCGCAAGAGUGAAACUCAAAGAAAUUGACGGGGGCCCGCACAAGCGGUGGAGCAUGUGGUUUAAUUCGAUGCAACGCGAAGAACCUUACCGGGGAUUGACAUACUACGCAUUUCUUGGAAACGAGAAAGUCCAAACGUAGAUACAGGUGGUGCAUGGCUGUCGUCAGCUCGUGUCGUGAGACGUAGGGUUAAGUCCUGUAACGAGCGCAACCCUUAUUGUUAGUUGCUUUUAGGAAACUAAUAAGACUGCCAGUGAUAAGCUGGAGGAAGGUGAGGAUGACGUCAAGUCAGCAUGCCCCUUAAAUCCCGGGCUACACACGUGCUACAAUGGUCAGGACAAAGAGAUGCUAACUCGCGAGAGUACGCUAACCUCAAAAACCUGAUCUCAGUUCGGAUUGCAGGCUGCAACUCGCCUGCAUGAAGCCGGAAUCGCUAGUAAUCGCAGGUCAGCUAUACUGCGGUGAAUACGUUCCCGGGCCUUGUACACACCGCCCGUCACACCAUGGAAGCUGACUAGGCCCGAAAUCGUUGUAAACGCCUAAGGCACAGUUAGUGACUGGGGUGAAGUCGUAACAAGGUAGGGCUACUGGAAGGUGGCCCUGGAUCACCUCCUUC